rnacentral:rRNA from 1 species
AACGAACGCUGGCGGCAGGCUUAACACAUGCAAGUCGAACGGUCUCUUCGGAGGCAGUGGCAGACGGGUGAGUAACGCGUGGGAAUCUACCCAUCCCUACGGGAUAGCUCCGGGAAACUGGAAUUAAUACCGUAUACGCCCUUUUGGGGAAAGAUUUAUCGGGGAUGGAUGAGCCCGCGUUGGAUUAGCUAGUUGGUGGGGUAAAGGCUCACCAAGGCGACGAUCCAUAGCUGGUCUUAGAGGAUGAUCAGCCACAUUGGGACUGAGACACGGCCCAAACUCCUACGGGAGGCAGCAGUGGGGAAUAUUGGACAAUGGGCGCAAGCCUGAUCCAGCCAUGCCGCGCGAGUGAUGAAGGUCUUAGGAUUGUAAAGCUCUUUCACCGGGGACGAUAAUGACGGUACCCGGAGAAGAAGCCCCGGCUAACUUCGUGCCAGCCGCCGCGGUAA